rnacentral:rRNA from 1 species
CCUANGGGAGGCUGCAGUUAGGAAUCGUACACAAUGGGCGAAAGCCUGAUGUCGUGACGCCGCGUGGAGGAUGAAGGUUCUCGGAUUGUAAACUCCUUUUCUGCAGGAAGAUUAUGACUGUACUGCAGGAAUAAGCAUCGGCUAACUACGUGCCAGAAGCCUCGGUAAUACGUAGGAUGCGAGCGUUAUCCGGAAUUAUUGGGCGUAAAGAGCGCGUAGGCGGACAUGUCAGUCCAAUCUUAAAUCCCAUGGCCCAACCAUGGUGUCGGAUUGGAUACUACAUGCCUUGAGUAUUUGCAGGGGCAAGCGGAAUCUGCGGUGUAGGAGUAAAAUCCAUUGAUAUCGCAGAGAACACCAAUGGCGAAGGCAGCUUGCUAGGCAUUCACUGACGCUGAGGCGCGAAAGCGUGGGUAGCGAACGGGAUUAGAUACCCUGNUANUC